rnacentral:lncRNA from 1 species
GAGGAAAGGGAAAGUGGGCCCAGGGAACGGCAUCAUUAGCCUUCUGCUUCAGGUGGGAACCUUUUUGGGCUAACUGGGUGAUAUUUGGCAAUAAAAACUAAGCUGAUCAAGACGCAAAUGUUCCUGUAGCAUAGAACUGGGGAGUUGUUCUCAGCUGAGAACCCACUGCUAAGAAGACCUCCGCUCGUUCACUCAAUAAGAUCACCAUGGAAACAUGCUUCUGGGUCUGAUCAUGAGAGUGUUUCCAGAAAGGUUAAAUGGAAGAGAAACAGCCCACCUUGAAUAUGAGAAGGAUCAUCCCAUUGACUGGGGUCUCAGAGUGAGUCAAAUGGAGAAAG